ACCUAGAUUUAAUUUGAAACAUUAAUUCAGCCAUUGAACUAAAAUCCGAUAAAAGAAAAGGAAAAAGAAAAGAAAAAGAAGGUCCUGGCCAACUAGAUCCAAUCUUGAGGUGCUCGGGCUCCAGGGUUUGAUCACAGAACCAAGCUAUUUGAUUUGACGUAUAUUAGGUUUCAAAGGCGGUGGCCCUGGGUGCCGGGGAAUGUAAUCCCUGCUCCUUCCAGAGCCCGGCCGGCUUCUCUUUGUGCGAGGCGAGGGCGAGGAGCCAUGAGGGGAACGGCGAUAGACCUCCCGGAAGUGCUCCCCUCUCCAUCCCCUCCUUCUUCUUCCUCCCAUUUCAGCCCUGGGCGCCAUUACUACGUCGCUGUCGAUCGGCUUCAGUUCAAGAUGGAGACACUAGUGGAUCUGCUGGGGGUGGCGGGACGGCGCCGGUCGCUGCCGAUGGUGAUAUGCUGCAGCUCGCGAGACGAGCUAGACGCCGUCUGCGCCUCGGUCUCCAACCUUUCCUUCAUCUCGCUUUCCUCCCUGUACAGUGACCUGGCUGAAUCUGAACGUGUGCUGGUACUAGAAAAGUUCCGUCAGUCAACAGCAGAAUGGAGUCAAAUCAAUAAUGCUUGUCCUGGUGAUGACCUUGAAUGUGGAAAUGUAGCUCACAAGUCAUGGAUGAUAGUUGUAACAGAUGCCUGUCUGCCACUUGUUGCUUCAGGAGAGGCACCUCUUUUAGCUCGUGUUUUAAUAAACUAUGAGUUACCAACAAAGAAGCUGCCUUGUAAAGCUAGAGGCUGUUCCUUCUUUUAUGGGUGUAAAAGAGGCCACAUCAUAUGCCAUAUUCACAACUUUGAGCUUUCAAACGAAAAAAAUAAAGGAAACAUACUUGAGGCGCAUGUCAACUUGUUUAGCAGCAGAUGGAAUUGUGAUAAACAUGGUUGUUGGAGGUGAAGUGGUGGCCCUGAAAGGACUUGAGGAGAGCAGUGGUCUUGUCAUUGCAGAGAUGCCCAUCAAUAUCUCUGAAAUCUUAUGAAGAUAUUAUUGUCAUCUGCAUCUAUGGAAGGAUUCGUUUGUAGAAUUUACUAGAACUGGUGAUCUGUUGGCUGCACCAUGGAAGACCCCACCAGUUUAAACAUAUUCAGACAAUGAUAGUUUGAAUCAUUAUGCCUGGUAUCGCUAUUACACUCUUGGGAAAUAUUUUUCUAUGUGAAUUUGAGUAUACUUCGACCGAACUGGGAAAAAAAGUGGUUUCUCCUAGAUACCUUAGCAGAUAAUAAUUUUGCUUACUCAAAUAAUUUUUAAUAAUAAUCAAGGGUGAGUUGAUAAAUUUUCACCUUGAUUAUCAUUUAUUUUACAUCCUUAUGUCAUUCAUAAUUUAUAUUAUGCUUCCCGUUGGAGCAAAAUAUUGAUAUUCUUGAUAAUCUCUUGCCAGAAGGCUGUGCUGUUAAAUUUGAUGUUUAACAAAGCAUAUACUAAUCCAGAUUCAUGCUUUAU